AAGCUCGUAGUUGAAUUUCGGGAUUAGUACGUUGGUCGUGCCUUAGGUACGUACUGGUGUUACUGGUUCCUACCUUCUGACGAACCAUCAUGUCAUUAAUUUGGUGUGGUGGGGAAUCAGGACUGUUACUUUGAAAAAAUAGAGUGUUUAAAGCAGGCUCGCGCUUGAAUACAUUAGCAUGGAAUAAUGGAAUAGGACGUUGAUCCUAUUUUGUUGGUUUCUAGGAUUGACGUAAUGAUUAAUAGGGAUAGUUGGG
rnacentral:rRNA from 1 species